GACGAACCGAGCGAACGUUAUUCGGAAUCACUGGGCUUAAAGGGCGCGUAGGCGGGCCGUCAAGUCAGGGGUGAAAGCCCCCAGCUCAACUGGGGAAGUGCCUCUGAUACUGGCGGCCUCGAGCGAGGUAGGGGCGUGCGGAACUUCCGGUGGAGCGGUGAAAUGCGUAGAUAUCGGAAGGAACACCGGUGGCGAAAGCGGCGCGCUGGACCUCUUCUGACGCUGAGGCGCGAAAGCCAGGGGAGCGAACGGG
rnacentral:rRNA from 1 species